UGCAUGUGGGGCGAGCGUUGUUCGGAAUCACUGGGCAUAAAGGGUGCGUAGGUGGCAUUAUAAGUCAGGGGUGAAAUCCCGCGGCCCAACCGCGGAACUGCCUCUGAUACUGUUGUGCUUGAGUGCGCGAGGGAUGACCGGAACGCGUGGUGUAGCGGUGAAAUGCGUAGAUAUCACGCGGAACACCGAAGGCGAAGGCAGGUCAUUGGCGCGCAACUGACACUGAGGCACGAAAGCGUGGGGAGCAAACAGG
rnacentral:rRNA from 1 species